rnacentral:rRNA from 1 species
UACGGAGGGUGCAAGCGUUAAUCGGAAUUACUGGGCGUAAAGGGUGCGUAGGUUGUCUGUUAAGUUAUUUGUGAAAUCCCUGGGCUUAACCUGGGCAGGUCAGAUAAUACUGAUAGACUCGAGUAUGGGAGAGGGUAGUGGAAUUUCCGGUGUAGCGGUGAAAUGCGUAGAGAUCGGAAGGAACACCAGUGGCGAAGGCGGCUACCUGGCCCAAUACUGACACUGAGGCACGAAAGCGUGGGGAGCAAACAGG